rnacentral:rRNA from 4 species
AAUGGCUGCAGUAAUAUAACUGUACAAAGGUAGCAUAAUCAUUAGUUUUUUAAUUAAAAGCUUGUAUGAAAGGUUGGACGAAGUAAAAUCUGUCUCUUUUUAAUAUAAUUAGAAUUUAAUUUUUAAGUCAGAAAGCUUAAAUAUUUUUAAAAGACGAGAAGACCCUAUAGAGUUUAAUAAUUUAUUUUAAAUAAUUAAUUUAGAUUUAUUUAUUUUAUUUAUUAUAAAAUUAUUUUAUUGGGGUAAUAGAAAGAUUAAUAUAAUUCUUUUUUUUUAUUUACAUUAAUAUAUGAAUUAAAUGAUCCAUUUUUUAUGAUUAAAAGAUUAAAUUACCUUAGGGAUAACAGCGUAAUUUUUUUUAAGAGUUCAUAUCGAUAAAAAAGUUUGCGACCUCGAUGUUGGAUUAAAGAUUAAUUUAGGUGUAGAAGUUUAAAUUUUUGGUCUGUUCGACCAUUAAAUCUUUACAUGAUCUGAGUUCAAACCGGUGUAAGCCAGGUUGGUUUCUAUCUUUAAAAAAUUUUUAUAUUUUAGUACGAAAGGACCAAAUAUUUAAUAUAUUAAAUAUUUAAUUAUUUUGAAUAU